rnacentral:lncRNA from 1 species
UAUCAAUUAAUUGUCCCUCUCCUAGAAAACUAUCUAUUUGAGUUGUCAUGAUCUUUGGCUCUUGAUCGUAAGAUCAAUAAUUAACUUUAGAGCACCUACUCUGAUACCACUUGUUGCCCAGUAGAUACAACCCAAGAGGGGGGGUGAAUUGGGUUUUUUAAGACUUUUCAACUACUUCUAAACUUUUCAAUUAAUUAAGAUAAGUUGUAUAGAUGCACAGUGGAAUUUAAACUUAGCAACAAUUUGAUUCUAAUAUGAUCAAAAUUAAAACUAUUAAGCAGCGGACUCAAUAAACAAUUAGUCUAGAUUUCCCCAAGCAAGCAUUUCAAUACAAUGAAUCUUAAUGCAGUUUUAUUAAAUGAAACUUGAUUAAACAAUUUGAAUAUAAUUGCAACUAAGGGAUGCACGGAUAAGAGUUAAGCAAGCAAUUCAAUCAGAUAUUUAUCAAGUAAGUGAGAUAAUUAAAUAAUGAAAGAAAGCAUCACAAACACAACAAACAUAUAGUGGUUCGGUGCACCCCAGCACCUACAUCCACUCUCCAAGACCUCUUAGAAAUUUCACUAUAAUCCCUCAGAUUACAGCCGGUUGUUUUACAAGCUCACAACCUAACUUGUUGUUUUUACGAGAUCACAACGAAAUCGGUCGGUUUUCACAGGCUCACCGACUAGAACCACUCGAUUGUUUUUCCGGGUUCACAAUCAAACUCAGUUGGUUUUUUCCGGUUCACCAACCACAACCUUACACCGUUGGUUUUUUCUUUGGCUCACCAACAAAUCUUAACCCCUUGAUUCAAUCCCUUGAUUGAAUCAAGUUACAAAAUAUUAGAACAAGAGUUUAAAACAAAUACAAGCUUCUUAAACAAGCAGAUAUAACAAUAUAAACAAAUAGAGUAAAGAGAAGAAGCCCUCAAACAAAUUUUGUAGAUGAAGAAACUCGGCUUCUUCUUUACUUGACCCUCUUCUGAUUUCGCACGAGGUAGAGGAUCACUGAGGCAGCACACAGUUGGAAAGAAAGCCUUGGGAUUCACUCAGAUGCUCUUCUUCUCUCUCUUUUGCUUUGAAUGGCCCUUUUGUGCUUUUGGAAGGUUUCUCUUGAAAUCUCUUCCCUAUGUGUUCUCUCCCACUUCCUUUUCUUCUCCCCUAGCUUUCCCCUUGAUUUUAUAGCUUUGGAUGGCGUGGAAACAAAAAUCUAGCCGUUAGAGAUAAAAAUAGAGCCGUUCUGAUCCGUCUGCACAGUCUGUCAAUGUAUCCGUUGGGAUCGGAGUCGACUCGCGUGAUCUGGAGUCGACUCGGCUGUUACUGGAGUCGACUCGCGCUUUACUGGAGACGACUCGCCCACUGUUCCAGAUUUAAAUUAAAGUGCAUGUCUCGUCCUGGAGUUGACUCGGAUCAAACUGGAGUCGACUCGCCAACAGCUGGAGACGACUCGAGCACUUAAGGGUCGGCUCGUUCUCAGGGUUCCAGAAACCCAACUUUUUAUUUUUCUUCCUCAAGUCGACUCGGGUUUACUUGGAGUCGACUCGGCUGUCGUAAGAGGCGACUCGAGAUCUUCGGAAGACGUCUCGCUCUCAGAGACCGAAAAAUUGAUUCUCUAUCUUUUGAACUGAUCUGCCUCAAAGUCGACUCGGGCCUUGAUGGAGUCGACUCGGCUAUCUUAGGGGUCGACUCUGGAACACUUGGAGUCGACUCGUUCACAGAAUCUCCGAAACUGAUUCUCUGUCUUUUUGUCUGCUUCCCUUUGGAGUCGACUCGGGACCAUCUGGAGUCGGCUCGCCAGCAUCGGAGUCGACUCGCAACCUUUGGAGUCGACUCGCUGACAGGGUCUAAAAUCCAUCAUUCUGUCUUUCUAUCUGUUCUCAGUCGGAGUCGACUCGGAGAGUCCCGGAGUCGACUCGAGCAUUGUUCCUUGAAACUCCAGAGUGCCAGAGUCGACUCUGAACUUCCAGAAGUCGACUCGAGGACUAUUCUUCUGAAUCUUUCUUGAAUUUGCUCCUCCAACUUGAAUUCUUUGUACUUGUAACUUGGGCCAAUGAAGUGUGGCUUUCUUCCAACUUUUCUUGAGAACUUUUGAGGCUUUUUUGCAUUCUUCCAACUUGCUAUAUUCCUUGCAAAACAAUUUAUCUUUCUUCUUGCAACACAACCAUUAGUAAUUAUACUUCAAGGUUUUGUGAUCAUCAAAAUCAAUCUUUGGGUCAGCAGAAACCAUGUACAAAUGUAAAAGUUCAACUUAUCCUCCUUUGAGCUG